ACUAUUCUUUUCUUGGAGGUGCACUGGUGUCCAAUGAGCAUGUAAUGCAGGCAGUACUGCUAACGCCUACAUAACACGCCAACAUCAACUAGAGCUUGGCUUUACCCCCAUUUGAAAAA
ensembl:snRNA